rnacentral:rRNA from 1 species
UCGCGCCACGAGAUGAGCCUGCGGCCCAUCAUGGUAGUUGGUAGGGUAACGGCCUACCAAGCCGAAGACGGGUAGCUGGUCUGAGAGGAUGAUCAGCCACACUGGAACUGAGACACGGUCCAGACUCCUACGGGAGGCAGCAGUGGGGAAUCUUGCGCAAUGGGCGAAAGCCUGACGCAGCGACGCCGCGUGAGUGAUGAAGGCCUUCGGGUUGUAAAGCUCUGUGGAGGGAGACGAAUAAGGGGUUGGCUAACAUCCAGCUCGAUGACGGUAUCCCUUUAGCAAGCACCGGCUAACUCUGUGCCAGCAGCCGCGGUAAGACAGAGGGUGCAAACGUUGUUCGGAAUUACUGGGCGUAAAGCGCGUGUAGGCUGCUCGGAAAGUCGGAUGUGAAAGCCCCUGGGCUCAACCUAGGAAGUGCAUUCGAAACUUCCGAGCUGGAGUGCUGGAGAGGAAGGCGGAAUUCUCGGUGUAGAGGUGAAAUUCGUAGAUAUCGAGAG